rnacentral:rRNA from 1 species
AACGAACGCUGGCGGCAGGCUUAAGACAUGCAAGUCGAGCGCCCACUUCGGUGGGAGUGGCAGACGGGUGAGUAACGCGUGGGAACGUGCCCAGAUCUAAGGAAUAGCCACUGGAAACGGUGAGUAAUACCUUAUACGCCCUUCGGGGGAAAGAUUUAUCGGAUUUGGAUCGGCCCGCGUUAGAUUAGGUAGUUGGUGGGGUAACGGCCUACCAAGUCUACGAUCUAUAGCUGGUUUUAGAGGAUGAUCAGCAACACUGGGACUGAGACACGGCCCAGACUCCUACGGGAGGCAGCAGUGGGGAAUCUUGGACAAUGGCGCAAGCCUGAUCCAGCCAUGCCGCGUGAGUGAUGAAGGCCUUAGGGUCGUAAGCUCUUUCG